GACGAACGCUGGCGGCGUGCUUAACACAUGCAAGUCGAACGGAAAGGCCCUGCUUUUGCGGGGUGCUCGAGUGGCGAACGGGGGAGUAAAACGUGAGUAACCUGCCCUUGUAUUUGGGGUAACUUCAGGAAACUGGGGCUAAUACCGGAUAGGAGCUCCUGCUGCAUGGUGGGGGUUGGAAAGUUUCGGCGGUUGGGGAUGGACUCGCGGCUUAUCAGCUUGUUGGUGGGGUAGUGGCUUACCAAGGCUUUGACGGGUAGCCGGCCUGAGAGGGUGACCGGCCACAUUGGGACUGAGAUACGGCCCAGACUCCUACGGGAGGCAGCAGUGGGGAAUAUUGCACAAUGGGCGGAAGCCUGAUGCAGCAACGCCGCGUGCGGGAUGACGGCCUUCGGGUUGUAAACCGCUUUCGCCUGUGACGAAGCGUGAGUGACGGUAAUGGGUAAAGAAGCACCGGCUAACUACGUG
rnacentral:rRNA from 1 species